rnacentral:rRNA from 1 species
CGGGUGAGUAAUGUAUGGGGAUCUGCCUGAUGGAGGGGGAUAACUACUGGAAACGGUGGCUAAUACCGCAUAACGUCGCAAGACCAAAGAGGGGGACCUUGGGCCUCUUGCCAUCGGAUGUGCCCAGAUGGGAUUAGCUAGUAGGUGGGGUAACGGCUCACCUAGGCGACGAUCCCUAGCUGGUCUGAGAGGAUGACCAGCCACACUGGAACUGAGACACGGUCCAG